rnacentral:rRNA from 1 species
AUGUUGAUGCAAGACUACUUCGCGGAGAAUCCUACAUAUCCACCGCACCUCUUCCGGAGAAGGUACCGAAUGCGCCGAUCCCUCUUUGUGAAAAUUGUUCAAGCUUGCGAGGCAAAUUACCAGUAUUUUACUCAAAGAAGAAAUGUUGCGGGCUUAAAGGGAUUUAGUGCAUAUCAAAAAAUCUCCACAGCUAUGCGGGUGAUUGCAUAUGGCGUUCCGGGUGACUAUGCCGAUGAGUACCUUCGCAUUGGUGAAGAUACUACAAUUGAGCCAGUGCGUAGAUUUGCAAAAGUGAUCAUCCGUGUCUUUGGUCCUGAGUAUCUUCGGGCACCCAACGAGGAUGACACAAUGAAAUUGAUGACAUCUAAUGAGAGGAGAGGCAAGCCUGGCAUGCUAGGUAGCAUUGAUUGUAUGCAUUGGACUUGGAAAAAUUGCCCAAAGGCAUGGCAAGAAAUGUAUUGUGGCAAGUCUCGUGACGCAACAAUUAAAGGAAAUAUGUCCUAA